GCUCCUUGUAAUUUGGUUCUUUUUGAACAGUUGCUAAUAAUUUUGCACUCGAUUUCCAUUUAAAUGGAAAUAUUAACCUCUGGAGCCUGCAGAGGAGCCUAGAAGGGGCUCAUAAGCAUGGCUCUUAUCUCCAUGGCUCAGGGUGUCCCGGGAGUCAAUUCAAACACACUUCUAAAUCACUUUCCUCAGCAGAUGAGGGUCUCACUGCUGUUUUGAAAGACCCUUCCAUUCUCUCCCAGAAAGGAAGUCCGCUUUCUCAUUUACUCGCCUGCCGCUAUGUGAGGAAGUUCUUCUUUAAGUCUAACCUAAAGUUCUCCUGCCAGAACACAAGCUGCCUUUUUCCUGGACCAUCUGGGGGGCAGACAACGGAAACCCACUUCCUAAACUGACGGUGAAGCUCCUAAAAAACUGAGCAAGAGACCCAGGUGGAGGCCGGAACAAAGCCCCAGGGUCAUCAGAAGAGCAUUUUGUCAUCCAACAACGACAAGAAGCCUUGUAAUGCUGUGGACGUCUUCUUCUAAUUUGCACAAAGACAUGCUAUAGUCUGGAGCUGACCUUCAGGAACACAUUCGAGGUCACACAUCGAGAAAGUCGUGGCCAGAGUGGAAAGCCUGGUCAGCUUCCGAGUUCCGGUCUGGUGCACAUCCUCCCU
rnacentral:lncRNA from 1 species